CCUUACUUCGUCCAGCGACAUGAUAGAAAAUGCUAGCACUCUGACACUGAAAUUAUAGACUAUGAUGAUCCUGAGGGAAGAAUCGUACGAGAACGAGAGGUUACACGACACUCGUGUCGACGAAAGCCAACGAUAAAGACAAGCAUUAUCGAGCGACCUUUGGAACGACUGAAAUCAUCGCUAUACGAGAUUCGAUAUGCUUCAACUAAUUUAUUUCGCAAUAAUAUCAUGCGAAAAUGUAUGGAUAUUUUAAUGGAGGAAACGCGAUUCGGCAAUCAAGAGACACGGAUGACCAAGGUCAUUACUGGUAUCUUCUGUAUUCGAGUUCUCGAAUGGAUGUAUCAUCUUUUCACACCUAUAAUUUUUUAGAUAUUUUGAAAAGAAUAAUAUAAAAUGGUCGAUCCAAGAAAUUAAAAAUCGACAGGAAGGUAAUUUAUAUUAAUGUUUAAAGUCGUACAUUUUUGAUCGCUAUUAUUAUAUUUCGAUACGACCAUCUGUUGCUUAGCCAUAUUUUAUUGAAUUGUGGGGAAGGAGCAAAGAUAAAUAAUUUAUUAACCUUCAAGUUUUUUCUCUCUCUCUAUGAGAUAAUCAUUUCACAGCCACACGGUAAUAUGUUAAAUAAAAAUGCAAAUUCUAUCUUAAUAUUAGAAUAAAUUUGAUACAUUGGCAUCACUGUAUUUACUAUAGCGAUUUAAUAUUUUACUUCUUAAAAAAAAUGGUAGUUUGACAAGGCAUACAUCGUUCGCUUGUUACACAUAACAUUUCAUUUUAAAAAAUCGUGUUUCUUCAACACGUGCGGAUGGUAGUCUUUUUUCGAUGUUGCUCGUAGCUAUGAUUGAUUCGAAAAAAAAAGUUUUUAUAUAAAAACUACGAAUUAAAUAUGAAAGGAUGUAAAGAAAUAUAUAUCGUGAUAAAUUAUCGUUGACAUUUUCUGCGAUUCUAUUUUUAUUUAUCAUACAUCCGCAUUGCAAACUUAUGUUCGGAAAGUUGAAAAAAAGAUCUUGAAUUUUAAAACUAAAUUUGUUCAUAAGAUAAAUUUGUGGACGAAUGGAAAGAAAAAUAUCGCAUGCAAGAUAUAAGUAAAUGUUUUUAAAGCCAGUGGAUUAUUGUUGGCGAUGACAAUAAAAAAUACACAUUCUUCCUGUCCUUGCUUCUCUUUCACAAACACGCAAUCAUUAUUCUCUCUCGCUUUCUUUCUCUCUCUUUCAUUACUAUUUUUGCAAAUCUAUAUAUAUAUAUAGAUAUAUAUGUAUAUACAUACAUUACGGUGCAAUAAUUAUAAUAUAUUUUGUGCUCAUAUAUGAAAAGUUUUAUAAAACCAACUUUGAAAGAGGUUUGACUCGAAAUUUAUGUUCUUUAAUGCGUUUUCAUAGUUCAGUUACUGAAAGUUAUAAAACUUACUAAACUUAGAAAAAAAAUGUGCAUUUCUGACAAUGCAUGACUUAUUGUCAGAAAUUAGUUUAUACUAAUGUGUCAUUCCUCGGUUUAUUACUAACGCGUAUUUAAGUCACGUACGCGACAACUACAAUUAACGACAUUAUGUCUUUUGGUUCCAAAAGUAAGAAAUGAUAAAUAUAAUCCAUUUAUAAUGCGGAUAAAUAUCUUUUUCAGAUUAAAUUUUAUAUACAUGGUGUUCCCGCAUUAUUAUAAUAUCACCGGGGGAAUAAUAUGUGACAAUAAUACUACACAGUGAUGAAGAGAAAAAACAAUAAUAAUCCGCUUAAGCAGCGAAACAAAUAUAUGAUGGAGUAGUAAACUGUUUUGGAUACGGAUUGGAUCCAGACGAGCGUGGAUAAUGACGAAUUGCAAAUUUUAGAUAAAUUAAUUAUCGAGUUUAUCUCGAUCAAUUGAAAGAUGUCUUACGAGUUAAGAUUUUAAGGAAUACCGCGUGAUAUUUUUGUAAUAAAUCUUGAUAUAUCACACCAUGUCAUUUUAAAAUUUGAAGGAUGUAAGAUCUCUCGAAAUGUCAAGAGAAUAUAUAUGUGCAUAUUUCUUGUGUGAAACAAAUAUAAUUAUGUGAUUCAU